rnacentral:rRNA from 1 species
AUUGAACGCUGGCGGCAGGCCUAACACAUGCAAGUCGAGCGAGCGGCGGACGGGUGAGUAAUGUAUGGGGACUGCCCGAUAGAGGGGGGUAACUACUGGAAACGGUAGCUAAUACCGCAUACUAUCGCAUCACCCAUAUGGGAUUAGCUAGUAGGUGAGGUCAUGGCUCACCUAGGCGACGAUCCCUAGCUGGUCUGAGAGGAUGAUCAGCCACAUGGGGACUGAGACCAGGCCCAGACUCUUACGGAGGCAGCAGUGGGGAAUAUUGCACAAUGGGCGCAAGCCUGAUGCAGCCAUGCCGCGUGUAUGAAGAAGGCCCUAGGGUUGUAAAGUACUUUCAGUCGGGAGGCGUCACCGACAGAAGAAGCACCGGCUAACUCCGUGCCAGCAGCCGCGGUAAUUC